UUUGGGAAGUGAUGAUAAGAUAUAUCGAUAUUUUCAUAGGCAUUUUUGCAAUGCUGAACAAAAAUAUUUGCACGUCAGUCUGAUCCCAUU
rfam:Arabis alpina cultivar Pajares Aa.chr4_contig_3341, whole genome shotgun sequence.